AUUGAACGCUGGCGGCAUGCCUUACACAUGCAAGUCGAACGGUAACAGGUCUUCGGAUGCUGACGAGUGGCGAACGGGUGAGUAAUACAUCGGAACGUGCCCGAUCGUGGGGGAUAACGAAGCGAAAGCUUUGCUAAUACCGCAUAAGAUCUACGGAUGAAAGCAGGGGACCGCAAGGCCUUGCGCGAACGGAGCGGCCGAUGGCAGAUUAGGUAGGUGGUGGGAUAAAAGCUUACCAAGCCGACGAUCUGUAGCUGGUCUGAGAGGACGACCAGCCAGACUGGGACUGAGACACGGCCCAGACUCCUACGGGAGGCAGCAGUGGGGAAUUUUGGACAAUGGGCGAAAGCCUGAUCCAGCCAUGCCGCGUGCAGGAUGAAGGCCUUCGGGUUGUAAACUGCUUUUGUACGGAACGAAAAGACUCUUUCUAAUACAGGGGGCUAAUGACGGUACCGUAAGAAUAAGCACCGGCUAACUACGUGCCAGCCGCCGCAGUAAUAC
rnacentral:rRNA from 1 species